rnacentral:ncRNA from 1 species
GUUAGCGUAUUAACAGGUGUGACGCAGGAAGGUAGCCCAAGCCAGGCGAUGGUUGUCCUGGUGCAAGUGCGUAGGCCGAGUGAUAGGCAAAUCCGUCACUCAUACAGGCUGAGACACGAUGCGGAUAAAAAGUGGGUGAUCCUAUGCUGCCAAGAAAAGCAUCGACGCGAGGUUCCAGCCGCCCGUACCCCAAACCGACUCAGGUGGUCAGGUAGAGAAUACCAAGGAGAUCGAGAGAAUCGUGGUUAAGGAACUCGGCAAAAUGCCCCCGUAACUUCGGGAGAAGGGGGGCCAUCCGCUUAUUAGGAUUCACUCCGAAAGGGCGUGGUGGCCGCAGAGACUAGUGGGUAGCGACUGUUUACUAAAAACACAGGUCCGUGCCAAGUCGCAAGACGAUGUAUACGGACUGACGCCUGCCCGGUGCUGGAAGGUUAAGAGGACCGGUUAGCCGCAAGGCGAAGCUGAGAAUUUAAGCCCCAGUAAACGGCGGUGGUAACUAUAACCAUCCUAAGGUAGCGAAAUUCCUUGUCGGGUAAGUUCCGACCUGCACGAAUGGCGUAACGACUUCCCAACUGUCUCAACCGCGAACUCGGCGAAAUUGCAUUACGAGUAAAGAUGCUCGUUACGCGCAGCAGGACGGAAAGACCCCGUGACCUUUACUACAGCUUGGUAUUGGUGUUCGGUGUGGCUUGUGUAGGAUAGGUGGGAGACUGUGAAGCAUGGACGCUAGUUCGUGUGGAGUCGUUGUUGAAAUACCACUCUGGUCACUCUGGAUAUCUAACUUCGAACCGUAAUCCGGUUCAGGGACAGUGCCUGGUGGGUAGUUUAACUGGGGCGGUUGCCUCCCAAAAAGUAACGGAGGCGCCCAAAGGUUCCCUCAACCUGGUUGGCAAUCAGGUGGCGAGUGUAAGUGCACAAGGGAGCUUGACUGUGAGACUGACAGGUCGAGCAGGGACGAAAGUCGGGACUAGUGAUCCGGCAGUGGCUUGUGGAAGCGCUGUCGCUCAACGGAUAAAAGGUACCUCGGGGAUAACAGGCUGAUCUUGCCCAAGAGUCCAUAUCGACGGCAUGGUUUGGCACCUCGAUGUCGGCUCGUCGCAUCCUGGGGCUGGAGUAGGUCCCAAGGGUUGGGCUGUUCGCCCAUUAAAGCGGUACGCGAGCUGGGUUUAGAACGUCGUGAGACAGUUCGGUCCCUAUCCGCUGCGCGCGUAGGAAGUUUGAGAGGAUCUGACCCUAGUACGAGAGGACCGGGUUGGACGAACCUCUGGUGUGCCAGUUGUUCCGCCAGGAGCACCGCUGGUUAGCUACGUUCGGGAUGGAUAACCGCUGAAAGCAUCUAAGCGGGAAGCCGGCCUCAAGAUGAGACUUCCAUACCUUCGGGUGAGAGGCUCCCAGCCAGACUACUGGGUUGAUAGGCCGGAUGUGGAAGCGCAGUAAUGCGUGAAGCUGACCGGUACUAAUAAGCCGAUGACUUGAUAAC